rnacentral:rRNA from 1 species
AUUGAACGCUGGCGGCAGGCCUAACACAUGCAAGUCGAACGAGUGGCGGACGGGUGAGUAAUGUAUGGGCAUCUGCCCGAUGGAGGGGGAUAACUACUGGAAACUGUAGCUAAUACCGCAUACUAUCGGAUGUGCCCAGAUGGGAGUAGCUAGUAGGGGGGGUAACGGCUCACCUAGGCGGCGCUCCCUAGCUGGUCUGAGAGGAUGACCAGCCACACUGGAACUGAGACACGGCCCAGACUCCUACGGGAGGCAGCAGUGGGGAAUAUUGCACAAUGGGCGCAAGCCUGAUGCAGCCAUGCCGCGUGUAUGAAGAAGGCCUUCGGGUUGUAAAGUACUUUCAGCGGGGAGGCGUUACCCGCAGAAGAAGCACCGGCUAACUCCGUGCCAGCAGCCGCGGUAAUUC